rfam:Tepidanaerobacter syntrophicus DNA, contig Tsynt_8, strain: JL.
AGCACCUUUAAAUCUGGUCCAGAGAGGCCGGCAAGGUUAGGCGCAUUUUUAAACUGGGGACAAAAGUGCCUUUUCCUGCUGGGGAAAAGGCUUUUUAAAAGCCAAAAUUACUGUCCCGACUAAAAUACAGCGACAAAAACCAAACCCUGCCCCUUGCGGACAGGGUUUUUUUAAA